AGAGUUUGAUCCUGGCUCAGAAUGAACGCUGGCGGCGUGCUUAACACAUGCAAGUCGUGCGCGAAGGAGGCUUCGGCCUCUGGAGAGCGGCGAACGGGUGAGUAACACGUGGGUAAUCUGCCUGGGAGCGGGGGAUAACCUGGGGAAACUCGGGCUAAUACCGCAUACGUUGACAGGGUUACGGUCCUGUCAGGAAAGCUGGCCUCUGCUUGCAAGCUAGCGCUCCCAGAGGAGCCCGCGGCUGAUUAGCUAGUUGGUGAGGUAAUGGCUCACCAAGGCUUCGAUCAGUAGCCGGCCUGAGAGGGUGAUCGGCCACACUGGGACUGAGACACGGCCCAGACUCCUACGGGAGGCAGCAGUGGGGAAUAUUGGACAAUGGGCGCAAGCCUGAUCCAGCAACGCCGCGUGGAGGAUGAAGGUCUUCGGAUCGUAAACUCCUGUCAGAUGGGACGAAAACAGUGGGGUGAACAAUCCCGCUGUUUGACGGUACCAUCAGAG
rnacentral:rRNA from 1 species